rnacentral:rRNA from 1 species
AUGACAGGAUGUCUAUCCGUAAAUUACAAUGUGCAUUACAAAGUGCACACAUAUGGCAACCUUCUCAUGUCAUUGACCAACCAGAGAAAUCAAAAGGCAAAGAGAGAAGAAACGUGGUGUAGGAGAGUCAACUAUUCAACAGCACCAAGGAAUCGCUCCUUAAUUACCCGAAGAAGUCAACCGAUGGAUUAA